UAGCAAGCGGGGAGGUUAUGAGCAUCGGAUGGUUGAGUGUAUCUGGACAAGUGUUUCAAGGGACUCUCAACCACCCGAUGCUUAUUUCACCGGACCAACAGCUGGAGACGAUUUUUGUGGCCAAUAGUGCCAUGGUUGGAUUCGAAGUGGAGAUGGCAGCGAUUUCGCUGAUAGUUGCUCCUUGGGCUUCAUCUCCAACCCUAAGAAAACUAUGGAGACAGAGUCUAAACUGGAAACCCCUCUUCAUUUAUCCCUGCAACUCCCAUUCUUUUCAUGAUAACCAUAUGAACUCACUUUUUUUCUCAUAAUUCGUCUUUGUUUUGCUUGCAAUUCCCUUCACCUCUUUCUGCAACUCUAUCGAGACAUCACCAUGGCUUGGCUGGUCUGGGUUGCCUUCCUUCUUCCUCGGAGAGUAGUACACGAAGAUCCACCAAGCUCUAUGCCAAUGUCAAACUUCUGAUGGAUAGAGUAGCAAACAGACCUAGAGGUUUUUUAUUUCCUUCGUUAUGCAACCAAGGAGGAAUCUAAGAAAGCCAUUAAAGGGAAUUCAUGAAAGGAAACAGCCUCUCUGCAAAACGGGGUUAAGGCUGCAGCCGCUGCGUACAUUAUGACCCUCUUCAGACCCCGCAGUGGCAGGAGCCUUGUGCACUGGUAAAUGUACUAACUAAUUGAAAGGAAGUCCAUAUAUGGGCCACAUUUAAAUAUCCUGCUGGCACUCUUCUGGCUGUGUUGUGCUUUGAAUUGUUUGACAAUCUAAUGAGCCACAUUGAAGAUCCUGUCUUGUUUUUGGAUGGCAGAGUCAUAUUUGUGGAAGUUGCAAAGCCGAGAUCAAAGCUGCAACUAAAGCAAACUCCCAGACAGUAUUGGGUAGCUUGUUGUAUCUGUUUACUUGGCUGUCUUGGAUACGAUCAUUGAUUGAAACAAUCAUAUGUGGUUCACAUCGUUACAUCAUCCCAGAUUCCCAGGCAAAGAUUGUCUUUGCCUUUUCAAUAUUGUACAGUUUGUAAAGUGAGAUGUGAAGUUAUUUAAACACACCAUUAAGACUAUACCAAGAGUUUGGUUGACAGGAGACUGUUUUGAUCACAAUUAAGACUCAAAGAACGAUAGGGCAGGCUGGAAAUUAAGAUGCGUAUAUUUUUGAGUCAACAAUCCAUGGAUCAUUCUUGUUGAUGAGGACCAGAAGAAUAUGGCAAGCCACAUCUAAGAGAUCUUAACCAUUUGUCUAGCUUGUUGAUACAACUUUCCCUUUGGUUUAGUCUUACUCUUCUAAUGUUCUUGCAUUGGCCAAAUUAAUUAAGAAUACUGUUUGAUUCAUGAUUCCUUAUUCCUCCUUGUUUUGAAAAACUCAGAAGAGUAACAUGCUUUGUUUUUUCUGAUUAACAUAAAGUAACACAAGAAGGAAAAGAGUGCAUUGCAACA